UACAGAGGAGCCAAGCGUUGUCCGGAUUGACUGGGCGUAAAGCGCACGCAGGCGGAUGCGCGCGUGGGGUGUGAAAUCUGGCCGCUUAACGGCCAGGCGCCAUCCCAUACGGCGCGUCUGGAGCUAUGCAGAGGUCGGUGGAAUUGCCGGUGUAGUGGUGAAAUGCGUAGAGAUCGGCAGGAACGCCCAGGGGGAAACCAGCCGACUGGGCAUAUGCUGACGCUGAGGUGCGAGAGCGUGGGGAGCGAACCGG
rnacentral:rRNA from 1 species